CACCCAGCACCAUCGCAUAUUGUAACCUGAGCGUUGAAUGUCCUUUUUAAGAGUCCAUCACUUGUGCCAAAAGCGCCAGUCAGAAGAAAGCACACGCUGAGAUGCUCGCGCCUCGCCACUGUGAGUCUUUAACAAAGUGCUGAAACCCACCAGGCAGUCACAAUCCUAGGAGGAACUCCGCGAAACCGGAGGCAGUUAGAUGCACUUGGAUUAUCGGUUGGUGAAGUGUCACAGCGUUAACCGCGAACAGACUGGCGCGUUAUCACCGCAGAAACGUAAAGCACGCGUCGGUCAUAAAAAUUAGCUUUCAUAGCUGCAAUGAAAUCAACAAUGGCAAUUGUCGCACUUGAUUGAUUUUAUUAUUAUUUGAUUUUCGAGUGGAUAUUCCUUUUCCGGUUGAAAAAAAUAUUGUAAAUGUACAUUUGGUUGAGUUAAAUAGAAUCACGGACGAUGGAAGUCAGUCUCAGAAUAAGCUUUCUGUCUGCAUAGGCUGCACCACCGGGCUCUUCUGAAAUACAUCACUAUUGGACCCUUUACAGAAUUGUAAUCUUUCAACCCAUUUUUAGCAAGACUUGGCUGGGACCAGACAGUAUGGGGUUAAAAAGCUCCUACUGGCUUUUGAUAUCUUUCAUGGUGAGCGGAACUGUUGCCGGGGAGUCCAGCUCUGAGCCUGCUGGCCCAGACACAUCUCUCAGGCCUGUCCUGGCCAUAAUAGAGGACGAGAGGCAGACCAUGACCGAGGGUCAAUACAAAUGUCUUGAGCUGUUCAGCCGAGACCAGCAGCACAACAUCACAGGUGAAGCACAAAUCACUAAUUUAAAAGUACAAAAAUGGAUGUACCAAUCCCAGAUUGCCCCUUUAAUCUAAUC
rnacentral:lncRNA from 1 species